rfam:Plasmodium knowlesi strain H chromosome 13, complete genome
CAUGCCUUAAAUAAAUGAAUACGUUCUUAAUAGCCAAUGUUAUGAGAGAUGUUUUAUUCGAGGCUAAAUUGAAAAAAAACAAAAAUGCCACUGAUAAAACGAGUUACGCAUUUUCCGCAAGUUGCUAACUCACCUGACUUUGGCACAUUACCCUAACGG